rnacentral:rRNA from 1 species
AUUGAACGCUGGCGGCAGUCCUAACACAUGCAAGUCGAGCGGAUGAAGGGAGCUUGCUCCUGGAUUCAGCGGCGGACGGGUGAGUAAUGCCUAGGAAUCUGCCUGGUAGUGGGGGAUAACGUCCGGAAACGGGCGCUAAUACCGCAUACGUCCUGAGGGAGAAAGUGGGGGAUCUUCGGACCUCACGCUAUCAGAUGAGCCUAGGUCGGAUUAGCUAGUUGGUGGGGUAAAGGCCUACCAAGGCGACGAUCCGUAACUGGUCUGAGAGGAUGAUCAGUCACACUGGAACUGAGACACGGCCCAGACUCCUACGGGAGGCAGCAGUGGGGAAUAUUGGACAAUGGGCGAAAGCCUGAUCCAGCCAUGCCGCGUGUGUGAAGAAGGUCUUCGGAUUGUAAAGCACUUUAAGUUGGGAGGAAGGGCAGUAAGUUAAUACCUUGCUGUUUUGACGUUACCAACAGAAUAAGCACCGGCUAACUUCGUG